UUUAGUCUUUUCAGAGGAACCUGUCCCGUAAUCGAUAAUCCACGUUAAACCUUACUUAUCUUUGUUAUCAACUUGUAUACCGCCGUCGUCAGAAUGUCCUAAGAAGGAUUUAAUUUUCUUAAAUUUUUAUUAAAAAUGAUGUCAGGUCAAGGUGUAGUUUAUGGAUAAGUGGAGAUGGGUUACAAUAAAAGUAUUUAUAACGUAUAAAUUUUUGCAAUAAAAUUUUGAAGGUGGAUUUGAUAGUAAUUAAAUUAAUUAAAUUAAUUUGAUUUUGGCUCUAAAACAUGCACACAUCGCCCGUCGCUCUCGUUAAUUAAGGCGAGAUAAGUCGUAACAUAGUAG
rnacentral:rRNA from 1 species